ACCAAGCCAAUGACGCCUAGCUGGUCUGAGAGGAUGAUCAGCCACACUGGAACUGAGACACGGUCCAGACUCCUACGGGAGGCAGCAGUGGGGAAUAUUGCACAAUGGAGGAAACUCUGAUGCAGCAACGCCGCGUGGAGGAUGACGCAUUUCGGUGUGUAAACUCCUUUUAUAUGGGAAGAUAAUGACGGUACCAUAUGAAUAAGCACCGGCUAACUCCGUGCCAGCAGCCGCGGUAAUACGGAGGGUGCAAGCGUUACUCGGAAUCACUGGGCGUAAAGCGCGCGCAGGCGGCCUUUUAAGUUGGAUGUGAAAGCCUACGGCUCAACCGUAGAACUGCAUCCAAAACUAUUGGGCUAGAGUGUGGGAGAGGAAGAUGGAAUUAGUUGUGUAGGGGUAAAAUCCGUAGAGAUAACUAGGAAUACCAAAAGCGAAGGCAAUCUUCUGGAACAUUACUGACGCUGAGGCGCGAAAGCGUGGGGAGCAAACAGGAUUAGAUACCCUGGUAGUCCACGCCCUAAACGAUGAAUGUUAGUCGUCGGGUAGCUAGUCUAUUCGGUGAUGCAGCAAACGCAUUAAACAUUCCGCCUGGGGAGUACGGUCGCAAGAUUAAAACUCAAAGGAAUAGACGGGGACCCGCACAAGUGGUGGAGCAUGUGGUUUAAUUCGAAUACGCGAAGAACCUUACCUAGCCUUGACAUAUAUUAGAACACCCUAGAGAUAGAGUGGUGCCUUCGGGAGCUUUUAUACAGGUGCUGCACGGCUGUCGUCAGCUCGUGUCGUGAGAUGUUGGGUUAAGUCCCGCAACGAGCGCAACCCUCGUCACUAGUUACUAACGGUUCGGCCGAGGACUCUAGUGAGACUGCCUUCGUAAGGAGGAGGAAGGUGAGGACGACGUCGAGUCAUCAUGGCCCUUACGGCUAGGGCAACACACGUGCUACAAUGGCCAGGACAAUGAGAAGCGAUACCGCGAGGUGGAGCAAAUCUAUAAACCUGGUCUCAGUUCGGAUUGUAGUCUGCAACUCGACUACAUGAAGCUGGAAUCACUAGUAAUCGUAGAUCAGCUAUGCUACGGUGAAUACGUUCCCGGGUCUUGUACUCACCGCCCGUCACACCAUGGGAGUUGAUUUCACCCGAAGCGGGGAAGCUAAACUGGCUACCCUCCACGGUGGAAUCAGCGACUGGGGUGAAGUCGUAGCAAGGUAACCGUAGGAGAACCUGCGGUUG
rnacentral:rRNA from 1 species